CGCGCCUGCGUCAGCCUGGGUGACCGGGCGCACGGCGGCGCCGCGGGUGGGCGGGCGCGGCGGCGCUGCGGGCGCCCAGCGGCGGAGGAGAGGCCGUGCGGGACGCGGGAAGAACGUGCUCUCCGCCCGGCAUCACCAGAGGAAACCGGCCGCAGCACCCGAACCCGUCGCCGCCUCCUGAACCCCGCUGUCCCCACCCUCAAGUCCUCCUGACACACAGAACCACCUGCAGCGGCAGAGCACCCCCACGGGCCCCAGGAUGUCUGGCGGCUAGAACACUGUGGCAUAAUCCGCGACAUGCUAUGAAGGCCAGGUCCCCAUUUUAACCAAACACUAUUAACAAUCUAUUACCAGAAAACAUGUGAUUGGAGAGUGACCACUAACAACUGCAGCCUUCCUUCUCAGGGUGAAGAAAACUUGCGACAGAUGCGUAACUAAAUAUGGCAAAAGGGCUUGCAUUGUACUUGGAAGAGCCUCACAGCAGCAUUAUCCACGGAUCAAAACUGAGUGGCCCGGGGCACACAAAAACCGACUUGAAUUUUGAUCCUAAGAGAACUCAUUUGAUGCGUUUAUAAAGACACAAAAGGUUUACUAAUAAAGACAACCAACGUUCUUUUAA